rnacentral:lncRNA from 1 species
ACCCAGCUUGCCUGGCCCUUCUUGGAGCACGGAGAGAAGUGGGAAAGAGAAGCUGGAUUCGAUAGGUUCAGCCUAGGGUGACCAGACAGAACUCCAGCGCCCUCGCCCUUCAGUCACACAGCAACCCGUAGGUAUCAAUCCGGUGCUGGGGCCGAUGAGGAAACCGAGACUCCAAGACAUUAGGUAAAAAGCAAAAGCAAGCAAA